GGGCAACAUGCAAAUAUUGGCAAGACGACACUCCCAAAGCAAAUGCCUCUUUCAAUUCGUUGGCGUUAGGGUUUCCAAUCUUGAUCUCCGUUCUGAAAGCUUCCAUGGAUUCAUCAAACGAAACUCCUCAUCAUCAUCAUCCCCGCAUCACGAUUCAGCCCGAAAAUCCUCUCCAGUUCACAAUCCAUUUACCCCAGCCCUCAAAUUCCAGUGGCACCGUUUUUCAAACCCCCAUUUCGGGGGAGAACAACCCCACUUCAAGUUCCAAUUCACUUUCCGAUCACUUCUUCUAUGCGCCGAUCCCUAAACGGAGGAGAUGCGGCCGGCCAAGGAAUCCGGCGAGGAAUUUCUCCUCAGCUUCCGUCGUCAAUCGAUUGGGCGAUGUUAGGGUUUCGCCGGCGGGAUCGACUUUCGGUCAGGCGAGGAGCGCCGAUGCGACUCCGGCAGUGGCCGCAAAGGUACAAAUGGAUAAUUCAAGUAAUUUAGUGGCUAAAAAUCAUGUUGCUAUUUCGAGUUCUGGUAAUUUAGGGAAGAAAGCAGCUGACGAUAUGUCGGAGGAGAUAAUUGUGAUUAAUAAGGAGGCGACGUCGGAGGCGUUGAUCGCAUUGACGGCGGGUUUUCCGGCGGAUUCCUUAACGGAGGAGGAGAUUGAAUACGGGGUAGUGUCUGUAGUAGGUGGGAUUGAACAGGUUAACUACAUUUUGAUUAGGAAUCACAUAAUUCGACGGUGGCGUGAAAACGUAUCGAUUUAUAUAACAAAGGAGAUGUUUAUCGACAUUGUGCCGAAGCAUUGUGGGAAGCUUUUGGACACGGCGUACGGAUACUUAGUUUCGCACGGUUACAUUAACUUCGGAGUGGCGCCGGCGAUAAAAGAGAGGGUUUCUCCGGAGCCGCGGCCGUUAAAUGUGAUAGUAAUCGGAGCCGGACUCGCGGGAUUAGGCGCUGCAAGGCAAUUAAUGGCGUUUGGAUUUAAAGUAACGGUUUUGGAGGGGAGAAAGCGGCCGGGAGGGAGAGUUUACACGAAGAAAUUGGAGGGUAGUAAUAUGGUUGCGGCAGCUGAUUUAGGGGGGAGUGUGUUGACGGGUACUUUAGGUAAUCCGUUAGGGAUUUUAGCGCGGCAAUUGUCGUUUACGCUUCAUAAGGUGAGGGAUAAGUGUCCGUUGUACAGAGUGGACGGAACGCCGGUCGAUCCUGAUUUGGAUAGAAGGGUCGAGAAUUCGUUUAAUCAGCUUUUGGAUAAAUUGAGUAAGCUGAGGCUGUCGAUGGGCGAGGUUUCUCAAGAUGUUUCUCUCGGCGCGGCAUUGGAGACUUUUAGGGAGGAUUUUAGCGAUGAGGAAAUGGCGAUGUUUAGUUGGCAUCUCGCGAAUUUGGAAUACGCAAACGCCGGUUUAAUUUCGAAUCUUUCGCUUGCGUUUUGGGAUCAGGAUGAUCCGUACGAUAUGGGAGGGGAUCAUUGUUUUUUGCCGGGUGGAAAUGGGCGGCUCGUGCAGGCGUUGGCGGAGGGGGUCCCGAUUCAUUACGAGAAAACGGUGCAAGCGAUUCGGUACGGUAGUAAUGGGGUUAAGGUUGCGGUUAGCGGGGGCCAAAUUUACGAGGCGGAUAUGGCGCUUUGCACUGUGCCUUUAGGGGUUUUGAAAAAUGGUUCGAUAAAGUUUAUACCUGAGUUGCCACAGAGGAAGCUCGACGCGAUAAGGAGGUUGGGUUUUGGGUUGUUAAAUAAGGUGGCAUUGCUUUUUCCUUAUCCGUUUUGGGGGAACCAUCUCGAUACAUUUGGUCAUCUCUCUGAUCAUCCGAGCCGCCGGGGCGAGUUCUUUCUGUUUUAUAGCUAUGCGACGGUAGCUGGUGGUCCUAUUUUGAUUGGUUUGGUGGCAGGAGAAGCUGCUUAUAAGUUUGAAGUUAUGGAGCCGACUGAUGCUGUGGAAAGGGUGCUUCGGAUUCUUAGAGAUAUUUAUGAACCGCAAGGCAUUCAAGUUCCGGAUCCCGUCCAAACUGUAUGUACAAGAUGGGGCACCGAUCCCUUGAGCUGCGGUUCUUACUCCAAUGUUGCAGUUGGUGCAUCGGGAGACGACUAUGAUAUCCUAGCAGAAAACGUUGGAGAUGGAAGACUUUUCUUUGCCGGGGAGGCUACAAACAGGCGUUAUCCUGCAACAAUGCACGGUGCUUUUCUUAGCGGAUUUAGAGAAGCCGCAAACAUAGCUCAUCACGCGAAAGUUAGGUCCUUGAGGUUAAAAGUCGAGAAAAACCCCUCUCAAAACGCACACACUUGUGCUUCGAUUCUUGCAGAUUUGUUCAGGCAGCCCGAUCUGGAAUUCGGUGGCUUUGCUGUACUCUUUGGAAGAAAGAAUGCUGAUUCAAUGGCGAUUCUACGAGUGACGUUUGGCGGGCACCGGAAAAAACCGGAUCAGCAAUAUACUAAUAAGCUGCUUUUCGAGCAGCUUCAGUCUCACUUUAAUCAGCAGCUGGAGUUUCAUAUUUAUACGGUAUUAAGCAAGCAACAAGCACUUGAUCUGAGAGAGGUGAGAGGGGGCGACGAGGGUCGAUUGAAUUACCUUGAGAAAAUCGGGAUUAAGUUGAUUGGAAGAAAGGGUUUGGGGCCGUAUGCAGAUUCUGUAAUUGCUUCAAUUAAAGCCGAGAGGAGUGGCCACAGGCGCACCCGAAUUAACAAGACAUCAUCAUCUGGUUUGACCAAGUUGAAAGCUUCGUCUCCUAAUCAAAAGCUAAUUAGACGAGCUAAAAUUGUGGGCAGCAGCAAAGUGUCUUCCACUCUGAGCACAGUUAGAGUCAGUAAUUCGGGUACAGAUGUCGAUGCUAGAGUGCUCGCCGCAAGUAAUGGCUUGGCUUAUCCAAGCUCAAAUAUUCGGGUGCUCGCAUCCAGCAGUAGUCGGGAAUUACCUCCAAAUUCUGGUUCUGGCGCCGACUCAGCCGCUGAUAUUAGAAGAACCAUACCCCAUGAUUCAAUUCAAACUAAUUUUUCGACGCUUCCUUCUACCGAGUCAAAUGCAUCGAAUAGCCCGGCACUUCCAACAUCGAAUGUUGGUAUGAUGCUAUUGAGCGAUGUACAAGGUUAUAACCCUCAAAAUAAUUCGAUGAGAUUCUCGAACACUAAUGGAAACCUGUCUCUACCAUUAGAUAUUCAAGCGCAGAACUGUACGAGCAGAUUAGAAGGGAAUAGUAGUGUUUCGGCACCCUCAAACUAUGUCUGCAGUAACGGACCAGCUUCUGAAAUCGAGACUAGAUUAGUCGACAACUGUAGCAGCCCAGCACCCUCGAAUCUGAUUAUUGGAGGAGACUUUAACAAUGAAAACUUUUCCGGGGAUAUUUCGGAUGGCAUUAGCUUUAUAUCUAAUCAAGACAAUAUAUUUGAAGAUAUAAUGAACGACCUGCUUCCUGCUACGGGCUCAAACUCUGGAACUUGGCAUUCCACCGGAAAAUUGUAGGAGUCAAAUUUGGUAUGAAGGCAUUUUACCUGGUGAGAGCCAGGGCUACAUAUUGCGGCAUUUCGAUGCUGUUAUUACACUUAUUCCGACUUGUUUGGUUUAAUUGAGCGAUGGGAAGAGAGGAAAGCUAGCCUUUUAUAAUUUUUUUCUCUGAGGGAGCUCGACCAAAUGCAUUUUGAAUUGGAUGUGGAAACCAUGGGUUUGCGCCACGACUGUGUCCAUGCUAAACCGAGCAAGUUGAAAACUGGAAGAGAUAUGAUGAUGGAUUGAGCUCGCAAAUUGGAGAUUGUACCUCAUUCGAUUUUAUCUUGAUAAUGUGUAGUUGCUACAUAUCCUAACGAUGUUACGAGAAUCAAAUUUUGUACCGCCUUUUGAACCUCGACCGUUGAUAGAGCGCGCCUGUAGGACAUACGGCCGAAAAAUUACUAAAAGAACAUAGCUUAAUUUACUCAAAAA